rnacentral:sRNA from 1 species
AACCAAGCGAGGGGGUCGCGCUAACGC